rnacentral:sRNA from 1 species
AUGAUGGAAAGAAAAAUCCCAGGGGUUGGGAAUUGUUUCGUUGCAGGAUCAGUAGGAGAGGGUCUUAAUCUAUUGUCAUGUUUGUUUACAAAAAAAGAAUUUGACAUUGAUGUGAUGGGGAGUUUACUUGAGACUGUGGCCAUUGAAAGACAACAUGAUGGAAAUGUCAAUGUUUUAAAGCUAGAGAGUUCCAAGUUACAUCCAGGUUAUGCAUUAUUAAGAAUUUUAGGUAGCGACACUAGUACAAAUGAUGACCGGUGUUUGUCCUCACAGAAAAUUAGAAACAGAGAUAAAAGGUGUAUACGUGAUGCUGAUUUCGGGGGUUUAGUGUCCAGCUUUGGAGGAAUCCCAUGUUUACUACACGGUCCAGCAUUUACGUUUGAUAUAUCACGUAGAAAUUAUCAAGAACCCGCAGUUGGACAUGCUACAUCAUUAGACCUUGUUUUCGGCAUUCGUUGUGAUGAAUGGCCUUCUGUGGCUGACGAAUGGAUUGAAAGAAAACGUUCAGGUUGGCCUUCUGGAACUAUGAUAGCCAAAGCUGUAAAAAUGGGUUGUGACCUAGUACCUAUUGGACCAGCUGGAAAUAGCAUGGAAGAUGAAGAGUGGAGAAUAUCAUUAAACGAUGUGCCUUUAGCAUCACUACGGAGACCAGUUUGUGAUAUCUCUUUUUUCAGUCUAGAGGAAUCCAUUCUGACUGAACAUCUAAGGCUAGAGAUAGUUUUAGCGGAGCUGGGGUAUGGAAUGGCUGUUUGGUCUGGUCAGAGCAAAAGUUUCGCAUGUCAUUACCAUGUAAAUGUUCACUCACUUGUGUAUGCAUAUUACAUGAAAUACAAAUGUUGUCUAUACAUGGGAAGAAACGUCGACUCCUUUAGGGCUCUGCAAGAACUAGAGGAUCAGGUGUUAGAAAACACGGAGCAUGAAUACUUUAAUCUAAACCUCUUAGGAUGCAGUGUAUUGGAGAGCGGAAACUUUGAGAAAGCUAUGAAGAUAUUCGCACUCGCUUACAGGAAACGUGAUUAUCGUAUAAGCGUUUACUACCAUGUUGGCAUCCUACUUCGACGAUGUCUUAAAGACAAUUAUAAGACGGAUAUUGGUACAAACUGAAACACGUUCACAAAAACAACAAUAGUAUCAAUAUGUGAUGUCUCGCUGAUAUAUAGGGUGGGGUGAUGAUUGUGAUGUUUACAGUUCAAUUGUCAUCAGCUGAUGUUUUUCAUCAAUAAAUGUUAGGUUUACAUUAGAAUUAUCUUUUGGUAAGAUUCCUAAUUUAUAAUCACAGAUGUCAUCAAAGUUCCAUUGACAAAGCCAUAGCUCUUCUUAUGUUUCAUAGCACCCGAUUACCCAUUGGCGUUUAUCGUGCGAAUUAUAGAACAUAGGGUGAUCCAAUGAAUUAAUGUAUAUUUUACGAUCAACCGCUAUUUUUAAUUAAGCAUUGAGUAAUCACUAGCUUUUAUUGAAUUGUUGAUAGAUGGAUCAUGUGAGCCCCCUAUCAUUUGUGUUAACCGACUUGCAAGAGAAAUGUGUAUAAUUUGUUCUUUUACCCAGUACUAUGCGAGUACAAAUUUAAAC